AGCUAAAUCCGUGGGAGCUGAUCUGCACUUAACGUUCCAAACAUUUGUGCUGACAGUCACAGAAAUUGAAAACUAUAGAAAUUCAAAAUUCCAAAUUUUGACCCAUCUGCACAGCAAGGCUCUAUUACAGACAAAAUUGUCUCACAAAAUUCCUCACUGUUCAUCCUUGAAAUAGAAUAAAAGUACAAAGAAUUGUCUAGUUAGGUGAGUCUGAAUGCAAGUUAUUCUUACUACUUCUUAGCUGAGCUUUAAUCAAAAGAUGCAAUAAGUACUUAGCUGAACAAUUCUCCAUGUCUUUCAUAUUUCCUCUUUCUUUAGACUUCACACUUUUACUGCAUUUUCACCAGAUUAAUUCCAGACUGACAGUCAAUCAAACCUGCAGUAGCUGUGCUCAGGCAAGAUGUCACAGUAUACAAACUUUUCUGCGUACAUCUCUUUAAUUCCAGACUCAGACUCUUUGCAUAUCCACACUCAGUGGUUUUGUAUGCUGCUUUCUCAUGCCUAGUUGAAAAGCAGGAGUGGCUGGAUGACAUGUGAAGAAGCAGUACUGUAGUUUACAACAGAUGGCAGCUCUGUGCCCUGAACUUCUGUGAGGGCAUUUCUGAGGUCAUCAGCGGUCCCAUGGGGGAAAUGAGUCAGCAAAAGCUAACACAGUCACCUAUUUCAAUGGCCAUGGUCACAAUCAUGCAGCACGUGCAAGACAACCAGGGGAUCAGGACCAGCCAAAGGCAGGUACUGCUGAACCAACCUGAUCUCCUCCUAUGACUAUGACUAUAGAUUUCAUACUCUACUGUGCCCACAGUUGUCAUCCUAGAAAGUCCAGCUGUUUGUUCCUUGCUUGUUGUUUGCAUGAGUCUACCUGGGUAGACUAUCUUGGUAUAGCUUUGUCUGUACUGCAGCAGCAGAAAUAUCCUGUUUCUUAACAUAGUUAGGCCAAAAUUUGCUUUGUAGCUGCUUCAGUUGCUGCCACAUGCCAUCAUAGAACAGGCAAGGCAAAAAUAGACUGAAGUACUUCCAUAAGAAAUCUAGAGAUACUUGAAAGCUAUUUGCCAUGCUUUCUUCCAGAGUCCCAUCUAAAAGCAGUGUACUUUAAAAGCAUCCCCUUAGCUUUUUGUUUCACUUCAUGCUUGUGACAAGCCCUGGCCUGUGGAUCCUGUAACAGCUAUAUGAUAAAACUUUAGCCCAAUGUUCCUUAUGGCUGAGACACCAAAGAAGCAGAGCCCAGCAGGUAAUGGGGAAAUAAAAAAAACAGGUUUUAAUCUACACUUGAGUUCAAAAGGUACAGGGAGAGGUAAUGAGCAGAACACAGGAAGGGCAGGGACAAAUGAGCCAAGGAACCAUACAAAGAAGUACAAAUGAGAUACUAAGCCAUUAUAAGUUGCUCACUCAGUUUAUGAUAGGCAAUUGUUUGCCUUUGUGUGCUCAUAAAUGCAUCUAAAAUAAACAGAACGUUUCCCAGUAUAGGCCAUGGCACUGUUUUUUUUUCCUGGUAAAUGUUUUAAGAAUACCAUAGGUAUUUGAAGAUGCUGACAUGAAAAACUCAACAAAAGAGCUACAAACCUUUUCCUGUUAUUAAACAAACGGAAAGUAAACAUUCAGGAUUGGGAUAUAUUCCAUAAGAGGAUGUUCUGUCAUUUUGUAUUUAAAAACAUAAAUACUCCUGGCAACAAAUUGAUUUAUUUGGUUUAUUUCAAUUCUUAAAAAUGUGAUGAUUUAGGAAUUUCUCCUGAUUUACUUGUUGUUUUGUCCUUUUUUCAGUUAUGACAUAGGAACCUAGACAGCAUUUAGGAUAAGCUUUGAGACACACUUCAGAUAAUCUCUGAAUCCCAAUAGGAUUAUUUGUGCAAUUAGAGGCAGACAGCCACGUUAGAGCCUGCUGCUGGGUCAGAGAGUGUUGAGAUUAGGAGUGACACCAAAUUUUGUCAUACAAUAAAAAAUUUAGGAUGAACUUUGAGACACAUUUCACAUUCCUAAAUAUUGUAAAUGAAGUAGAAGUGUUAGAAACAAAUUUAGUUUUUUAAAUUAUACCCACAUCUACAUCAACUGUGAAUUUUUAGUGCCAGCUUUGCAGCUGGUUCUGAGAGUUCAGUCUUUGAAUGGUGUGAUACUCAGCAUUCUCUAAAGUCCAUUCUAUCCUUGUGUUUAAUAUUACUGAAAAUAGAGGGGGAAAAAAUAACUGAAAAGGGGAAAUGGUUUUGAGUUG